rnacentral:sRNA from 1 species
GCUGGGCAUGGUGGCACACACCUAUAGUCCCAGCUACUUGAGAGGCUGAGGCAGGAAAAUCACUUGAGCCCAGGAGUUCAAGGCCAGUUUGGGUAACAUAGUGAGGCCCUGUUU